rnacentral:rRNA from 1 species
GAUGAACGCUGGCGGCGUGCUUAACACAUGCAAGUCGAACGAAGCACUUUAUUUGAUUUCCUUCGGGACUGAUUAUUUUGUGACUGAGUGGCGGACGGGUGAGUAACGCGUGGGUCACCUGCCUUUUACAGGGGGCUAACAGUUGGAAACGGCUGCUAAUACCGCAUAAGCGCACAGCAUCGCAUGCUGCAGUGUUAAAAACUCCGGUGGUAUACGAUGGACCCGCGUUGGAUUAGCUAGUUGGUGAGGUAACGGCCCACCAAGGCGACGAUGCAUAGCCGACAUGAGAGAGUGACUGGCGACAUUGGGACUGAGACACAGUCGAAAAUCUUACGGGAGGCAGGAGUGGGGAAUAUUGCAAAAUGGGGGAAAGGAUGAUGGAGCGACGACGGGUGAGCGAAGAAGUAUUGCGGUAUGUAAAGCGCAAUCAGCAGGGAAGAUAAUGACGGUACCUGACCAAGAAGCACCGGCUAAAUACGUG